AUGCAAGCUCACAACCUAUGUCUUCUGAAGAAAAAUCAUUUCUGUUGCAGAUUUUGCAUUUAGACCGAAUGAGAACCAUUUUGUUGCCCAUCCGAGGAUAAGGAAAAGGCCAACCCCACCAAAACGGUCAACAAGGUUCUUUGUUUGUUUACCCCUUGGCUGGUGAAAGAUUGUUGUGCAUCAAGUUAACCUGUGGCUGUUCCUUGUUGCUGGUGUCUUGUUACAGAAGUUGCAGGCAGUAUUUGGUUCAAUUUGCAUUGUCUGUAGAUUUUCAGCUAGUUUAAGUCUUAGCCUAACCUUCUUCUUUGUUCCAGUCUAAUUCACACAUGUUUUUUUUUUUCAGUCAGCAUUUUGAAUUUGACAUUUACAAUUUUCGUAAUGGUUUCGCGUAGUUGCUGUCCGCUGUGGUACGUUGUUGCAGCCUAUGCUGGUGAUAGAUCUUUCUGCAUCAAAUUCAAUUGGCCGUUCCUUGGUGCUGGUGUCGUGUUAAAGUUGCAUUAUUAUUUUAUUAAAUUGGCAUUGUGUCAAUGUAGUUUAGCGUUAUUAUGUUAAGAAGAAACAAAAAAGAAAUAUGGGGUGUUUAUGUCAAACAAAUAAUAAACAUGAUUUUGGGAUUGGGAAA